rnacentral:rRNA from 1 species
CCCUUAGAUGUUCUGGGCCGCACGCGCGCUACACUGACGAAUGCAACGAGCUUAUAACCUUGGCCGAAAGGUCUGGGUAAUCUCCAAAUUUCGUCGUGAUGGGGAUAGAUUAUUGCAAUUAUUAAUCUUCAACGAGGAAUGCCUAGUAAGCGCAAGUCAUCAGCUUGCGUUGAUUACGUCCCUGCCCUUUGUACACACCGCCCGUCGCUCCUACCGAUUGAAUGGUCCGGUGAAGCGCUCGGACCGCGGCCUCUUGACGGGUCUCCGUCGAUUGGCUGUGGGAAGUUCGUUAAACCUUAUCACUUAGAGGAAGGAGAAGUCGUAACA